rnacentral:rRNA from 1 species
UAUAAAUUUUAAAGUCUUGCCUGCCCACUGAUAUUUUAAAUGGCCGCGGUAUUUUGACUGUGCUAAGGUAGCAUAAUCAUUAGUUUCUUAAUUAGAAGCUGGAAUGAAGGGUUGGAUGGGGAAAUAACUGUCUCAUUUUUAUUUAUUUAUAAAUUUAUUUUUAAGUUAAAAAGCUUAAAUUAAUUUUAAAGACGAGAAGACCCUAUAGAGUUUUAUUUAAAUUUAUUUAAUAUUUUUAGUUAAUUUAUUUAUUUUAAUUUAAUUUUUAAAUUUUGUUGGGGUGAUAGAAAAAUUUAAAAAACUUUUUUUUUAUUUAGAUAUAAAUUUAUAGGUUAAUGAUCCAAUAGUUUUGAUUAUAAGAUUAAAUUACCUUAGGGAUAACAGCGUAAUUUUAUUAGAGAGUUCUAAUCGAAAAUAAAGAUUGCGACCUCGAUGUUGGAUUAAAA